rnacentral:rRNA from 1 species
UAGAAGUGGGGGGGAGGAGCCGGGGAAGUCGUGUGGGAGGGGGCGGUGUGUGGAUGUAGGGGGUGGAAAGAUCUAGUCGGGGGCUGUGCGAGUCGGAGGGGAAAACUCCGGGGUGAACCUGGAGACGCCUGCCGAUACGGCUGUGGCUGGAGUCCGGUAGGGGACCAGGGAUGACCUGGUGUAGCGGUGAAAUGCGCAGAUAUCAGGUGGAACACCGGUGGCGAAGGCGGUGGUCUGGGCCGUAACUGACGCUGAGGAGCGAAAGCGUGGGGAGCGAACAGGAUUAGAUACCCCUGUAGUC